GAAAUGCGAUAAGUAAUGUGAAUUGCAGAAUUCAGUGAAUCAUCGAAUCUUUGAACGCACAUUGCGCCCGCCGGCACUCCGGCGGGCAUGCCUGUCCGAGCGUCAUUUCAACCCUCAGGGCCCCCUUUCGGGGGCGGCACCUGGUUCUGGGGAUCAGCGGCCCUUCGGGGCCCCUGUCCCCCAAAUUGAGUGGCGGUCGCGCCGCAGCCUCCCCUGCGUAGUAGCACACCUCGCACCGGAGAGCGGCUCGGCCACGCCGUAAAACCCCCAAUUUUUACAGGUUGACCUCGGAUCAGGUAGGAAUACCCGCUGAACUUAA
rnacentral:misc_RNA from 1 species